rnacentral:lncRNA from 1 species
AUCAUCAGUCGAGCACUGUGUAAUAAUGACACAUUCUGAAGAUUAAAUCCGUCGUCGUCGUCAAACUUUCGCUUAUAACAUCAGUUAUACACAGUCAAUUCAAUUUUCGGCAUUACUGUACGUUGCUAAUAACCAAAGAAUCAUUCGCUGAAUAGCUCGAGCCAUUUUGUCGAGGGAUUUGCUGUAGUCGAGUUCGAGCUCGGCUCUCCGUCGAAAAAAGUCCUGGAGUUCGGCAACCAGGGCGACCUGGGCCUCCAUUCGAACGUCGAGACAUCUCAGCUGCUCGUUCAGCUGCAGU